GCUAGUAACCCAGAAGUUUGGCAAGACAAAAUUCGAUUUUGAGUCUAGAACAAUCAAACCUUGAACAAGCACUGAGCAAUGCUAACGUUCUCUUGGAUGGUGAUGUCAAUGAUUGCGUCUCACAGAACGAGGCUUAUCCCUGAGGCUGCUUGGAAAUGGACAAUUCAGGAAGAAUCAAUGGAGAGCUGCAUUUUUGAUGGAUGAACCAUUAGAAAAUUCUACGGCAUUUUUCCCAUGACCUUUCCUGAAGACAGAUGAAUAGCCUUUCAAAGGUUGCAUUUUAUUUCAUGUUCAAAGAAGAAAAAAAAAGAAAGGAAGGAAAAAAGAAAACCUCGCCAGAUGAGGCACAUUAAAAACAACAUAGUCAAGUUAGGUUCUUUCUCAAUGUAAAACACAUAAAUACAGGGAAAAGGAGGAUGGUGGUUAAAGGUAUCCUAUGGAAAAGCAAGAGUGAUUAGCAAAGAUGGCAGAAGAAUCAGCAUAACUCGAGGAAGUUCUCAGUUUCCUGGAAACAGCUUCUAACCAACACUCCCACUCUAUGUCCCUGACGAGACGGACAACUAGAAGUGGGAAAGAGGAAACUGCAGAAGUGUAGCGGAGCCCACAUGGACCUUCACACUGAGGAAGAUAUUAGAUGGCUGGUGUGGACACCAGAGUCUCAGGGUCCUCUGGUCUCUUAUUGAGACAUCUCGUCAACAUCCAUUUAAAGGAGAAGGUGGAGGAGGGUGUGGGAGCGUGUACCAGUCUGCCCUUCUGUGAAAGACCUUCUGUUAUUGUGGAGCAAGUUACUCAGGGCUCUCACCUCCCACUCCAGGUGCUAUUGGAACAGUCCUUCCAGCCCCACCUAACGUUCUCUUCCAGGGCACUUUGGGUGGACAGGCUCUUCUCUGCUCAGGACAUUUCUAGUGCUGAGUCACUGUCCCGACCUUUUCCCACCCCUUUAUAUUUGCUCCCCAAGAAGUCACCCUGAUGACCCGUCCUGAACCCACCUCUCCAGCCAGCGCUGUUACAAACAAAAAUUGCACAUAUAUAUAUUUGUAUUUAGUGCGUUUAUUUAUUUAUUUUUUAUUUUUUGUUUCCAUAGGUUUUUGGGGAACAGGUGGUAUUUGGUUAUAUGAGUAAGUUCUUUAGUGGUGAUUUGUGAGAUUCUGGUGUGCCCAUCACUCGAGCCGUAUACAUUGAACCCAGUUUGUAGUCUUGUAUCCCUCAACCCCUUCCCACCCUUUCCUCCUGGUUCUCCAAUAUCCAUUGUAUCAUUCGUAUGCCUUCGCAUCCUCAUAGCUCAGCUCCCACUCAUGAGUGAAAACAUACGAUGUUUGGUUUUCCAUUCCUGAGUUACUCCACUGAGAAUAAUAGUCUCCAAUCUUAUCCAGGUGGC